GGAAUCUUAGACGAUGGGGGCAACCCUGAUCUAGCCAUGCCGCGUGUGUGAUGAAGGCCUUAGGGUCGUAAAGCACUUUCGCCAGGGAUGAUAAUGACAGUACCUGGUAAAGAAACCCCGGCUAACUCCGCGCCCGCAGCCGCGGUAAUACGGAGGGGGUUAGCGUUGUUCGGAAUUACUGGGCGUAAAGCGCACGUAGGCGGAUCGGAAAGUUGGGGGUGAAAUCCCGGGGCUCAACCCCGGAACUGCCUCCAAAACUAUCGGUCUGGAGUUCGAGAGAGGUGAGUGGAAUUCCGAGUGUAGAGGUGAAAUUCGUAGAUAUUCGGAGGAACACCAGUGGCGAAGGCGGCUCACUGGCUCGAUACUGACGCUGAGGUGCGAAAGUGUGGGGAGCAAAC
rnacentral:rRNA from 1 species